rnacentral:rRNA from 1 species
CUUAGGAUGAACGCUGGCGGCGUGCCUAACACAUGCAAGUCGAACGGAGUUUAGCGCUGAUGAAGCUUCGGCAGAUUCUUGUUAAACUAGUGGCGGACGGGUGAGUAACGCGUGGGUAACCUGCCUCAUACAGGGGGAUAGCAGUUGGAAACGACUGAUAACACCGCAUAAGCGCACGGUAUCGCAUGAUACAGUGUGAAAAUAUUUAUAGGUAUGAGAUGGACCCGCGUCUGAUUAGCUAGUUGGUGAGGUAACGGCCCACCAAGGCGACGAUCAGUAGCCGGCCUGAGAGGGCGGACGGCCACAUUGGGACUGAGACACGGCCCAAACUCCUACGGGAGGCAGCAGUGGGGGAUAUUGCACAAUGGGCGAAAGCCUGAUGCAGCGACGCCGCCGUGAGUGAAGAAGUAUUUCGGUAUGUAAAGCUCUAUCAGCAGGGAAGAAAGACCUCGUAAGAGGGGAUGACGGUACCUGAGUAAGAAGCCCCGGCUAACUACGUGCCAGCCGCCGC